rnacentral:tRNA from 1 species
UGCUCGGGUAGCUCAGUUGGUAGAGCACUUGCCCGUGAAAGGCAAAGGUCCCGAGUUCGAGUCUCGGUCCGGCAC